rnacentral:lncRNA from 1 species
CUAAAACUAUCCUAUCAGGAGUAUCUAGAAUUAAGACACUGAGUGGGAAGAGAGAUACAAAUAUGUCCAUAGAAAUAUGGAAGGUUUUAAGCCAGAAAAUCCUUAAAUGAAGGUCUGUAGCAGUAUCUCUCCAGAUAUUUAAAAAUACAAUGAUCACCAAAAUAUGCUAUAAAUGUUUAAAAUGGACUCCUAUCGAAAGUUCAGAGGUUAAAGAUGAUGUUGUUUAUGGUACUCCUAGAAAUUGAUUCUUCUUUAUUUUUUCUUUUCGUUGAGUUUAAUUGCCACUAGAAUUAUUUUCAAGUUAAGAAGAUAAGAGGAUUGACUUUUUAAACUUCAAAAUGAACUUCCCUGCUGUGACUGACUAUAUUCCCCAGUAUGGAGAAUUAUGAGGAACCUGUUGAACAGAAAAGUCUCUGACCAUAAUCAAGGUCACACAGUCAGAAGGCAUCCCAGCAGACACUCCACACUAGCCAAUGUGGAUUCAGAGACUGCACCCUUGAUUACUGUGUUGUUUGAUGAUACUAGUGCACCUUCAUGAAUCAGAACUUUCCAUAUAUGGAGGUUAUUCAGCAUGUCCUUUGUGAGUAAUGGUUACAGGUAUAAGGUGCAUACAGGUAGAUGUGAAGAAGGCAGUGGAGGAUAACAGGAAAAUGGAAGAGAAUGAGGAAAUGUAUGGUCCUGUGGAAGAAACACUGGAAUUAAGAUUUCCACGGGGGGCAGAGAUGAUUUUCCUGGCUCUGGGCCUCAUGGUUUCACACUACCUUUGUAAUUUCUCUUGGAGCCUUUCAUUACAGAACUAAAGUUGCCUCUGCUCAGCUGUAUUCUUCUUUGAGGUGAAGUUUGAGGGUCUUUGAUUACUCAUGACAGCCUAGAAGAGAGGAGAGGACAACCAGAAUUAAAGGGCAG